UACAACAUACUCACAGUCAUCUCGCCUCUGUUGACCUUACCUAUCAUGUUGCCACAAUAUACGUCUUUCAUAAUCUCUUGUUUUAUAAUUUACAAAUUUUUAUUUUCUACGUUUGGGUCAGCCAUAGGGAUUUUAACUAUCCUUUCAGUUUAUGGUUUUAAUAUAUUAUUACAAAAAUACUUUGCCUAAUAUCUCAUCAUGUGUUAUAAAAAUAUUUACUACAUGAAAUUCUGCGUUUAUU